AUGAAGAGUUUGAUCCUGGCUCAGGAUGAACGCUAGCGGCAGGCCUAAUACAUGCAAGUCGAGGGGCAGCACGAUCUUCGGAUUGGUGGCGACCGGCGCACGGGUGCGUAACGCGUAUGCAACUUACCCAUUACUGGGGGAUAGCCCGGGGAAACUCGGAUUAAUACCCCAUAGUACCAUUUGAUGGCAUCUGAAGAUGGUUAAAGAUUUAUUGGUAAUGGAUGGGCAUGCGUCUGAUUAGUUAGUUGGUGAGGUAACGGCUCACCAAGACGAUGAUCAGUAGGGGGUCUGAGAGGAUGAUCCCCCACACUGGUACUGAGAUACGGACCAGACUCCUACGGGAGGCAGCAGUAGGGAAUAUUGGUCAAUGGGCGAGAGCCUGAACCAGCCAUGCCGCGUGCAGGAUGACGGCCUUCUGGGUUGUAAACUGCUUUUCUACAGGAAGAAAAAGCCCUUGCGAGGGAAAUUGCCGGUACUGUAGGAAUAAGCACCGGCUAACUCCGUGCCAGCAGCCGCGGUAAUGCGGA
rnacentral:rRNA from 1 species